GACAGAGGGUGCAAACGUUGUUCGGAAUUACUGGGCGUAAAGCGCGCGCAGGCGGCUAUCCAAGUCAGUGGUGAAAGCCCGGAGCUCAACUCCGGAACUGCCAUUGAAACUGUUUAGCUUGAGGACGAGAGAGGUGAGUGGAAUUCCCAGUGUAGAGGUGAAAUUCGUAGAUAUUGGGAAGAACACCGGUGGCGAAGGCGGCUCACUGGCUCGUAUCUGACGCUCAGGCGCGAUAGCGUGGGGAUCAAACAGG
rnacentral:rRNA from 1 species